AAACAUUUAUUUAAAGAAAAAGCAAGCGGAAGACUUUCUAGACUUUAUACAUGAUGUCUCAUAACCAUCUAAUACUUUAGAGUACAAAAUUCGGGACUAAUCCCGUACACAACUCAAACAAUACAAAAAAAGACAUAAAAGAACAUAUUGGGUAUUGUCCUCGAAUCUAUGAGGACUCACCAAGUCUUCAUCUUCAACACUUAGAAACCUAUCAAAGCCAUGACAUGUCAUCAUCUCCAAAUCCCUACACU
rnacentral:lncRNA from 1 species